UGUGGCUAUAAAGCUUUUACCUUGGAGAUAAAAAAAGAGAAAAAUUAAAAGAAUAAGGACCCAGAAGAAGUUAAAAGAAGCAUAGACAAAUGAAGCGUUCAAGCUAUAUUUCCGAGGGGGAUGUGUUCCAGGAUUUGGAUUUUAGCAGUGCCCCACAUACCGAUAUCUACAGUAACUAGAAUUAUUACAGCUGAUUUUGCCUCAGGCUCGGUUCACCGGGGAGCAUAAACCUAGG